rnacentral:rRNA from 1 species
CACGUAGGGGGCGAGCGUUGUCCGGAUUUAUUGGGCGUAAAGCGCGCGUAGGCGGCCCGGUAAGUCCGCUGUGAAAGUCAAAGGCUCAACCUUUGAAAGCCGGUGGAUACUGUGAGGCUAGAGUACGGAAGAGGCGAGUGGAAUUCCUGGUGUAGCGGUGGAAUGCGCAGAUAUCAGGAGGAACACCAAUAGCGAAGGCAGCUCGCUGGGACGUUACUGACACUGAGGCGCGAAAGCGUGGGGAGCGAACAGG